rnacentral:rRNA from 1 species
CCCUUAGAUGUUCUGGGCCGCACGCGCGCUACACUGACGGAUUCAACGAGCUUACAACCUUGGCCGAAAGGUCUGGGUAAUCUCCAAAACCCGUCGUGAUGGGGAUAGAUUAUUGCAAUUAUUAAUCUUCAACGAGGAAUGCCUAGUAAGCGCAAGUCAUCAGCUUGCGUUGAUUACGUCCCUGCCCUUUGUACACACCGCCCGUCGCUCCUACCGAUUGAAUGGUCCGGUGAAGCGUUUGGACUAUGGUUUUCUGAUGGUCCGCCGUUGGAUUACCGUGGGAAGUUCGUUAAACCUUAUCAUUUAGAGGAAGGAGAAGUCGUAACA